GGGCCCGCACAAGCGGUGGAGCAUGUGGUUUAAUUCGAUGCAACGCGAAGAACCUUACCUACUCUUGACAUCCUGCGAAUUUGGUAGAGAUACCUUAGUGCCUUCGGGAGCGCAGAGACAGGUGCUGCAUGGCUGUCGUCAGCUCGUGUUGUGAAAUGUUGGGUUAAGUCCCGUAACGAGCGCAACCCUUGUCCUUAUUUGCCAGCGCGUAAUGGCGGGAACUCUAAGGAGACUGCCGGUGACAAACCGGAGGAAGGUGGGGACGACGUCAAGUCAUCAUGGCCCUUACGAGUAGGGCUACACACGUGCUACAAUGGUCGGUACAAAGGGUUGCCAACUCGCGAGAGUGAGCCAAUCCCGAAAAGCCGAUCUCAGUCCGGAUCGGAGUCUGCAACUCGACUCCGUGAAGUCGGAAUCGCUAGUAAUCGCAGGU
rnacentral:rRNA from 1 species